rnacentral:rRNA from 1 species
CUAGCUGUAAACGAUGGAUACUAGGUGUGAGUGGUAUUGACCCCACUCGUGCCGAAGCCAACGCGUUAAGUAUCCCGCCUGGGGAGUACGACCGCAAGGUUAAAACUCAAAGGAAUUGACGGGGGCCCGCACAAGCAGCGGAGCGUGUGGUUUAAUUCGAUGCAACACGAAGAACCUUACCAGGGCUUGACAUGCACGUGGUAGUGAAGCGAAAGCGGAACGACCCUUCGGGGAGCGUGCACAGGUGC